GACGAACGCUGGCGGCGUGCUUAACACAUGCAAGUCGAACGGAAAGGCCCUGCUUUUUUGGGGUGCUCGGGUAGCGAACGGGUGAGUAACACGUGAGUAACCUGCCCUUGACUUUGGGAUAACUUCAGGAAACUUGGUCUAAUACCGGAUAGGAGCUCCUGCUGCAUGGUGGGGGUUGGAAAGUUUCGGCGGUUGGGGAUGGACUCGCGGCUUAUCAGCUUGUUGGUGGGGUAGUGGCUUACCAAGGCUUUGACGGGUAGCCGGCCUGAGAGGGUGACCGGCCACAUUGGGACUGAGAUACGGACCAGACUCCAACGGGAGGCAGUAGUGGGGAAUAUUGCACAAUGGGGGGAAGCCUGAUGCAGCAACGCCGCGUGUGGGAUCAGGGUCUUUGGGUUGUAAAACGCUUUCGCCUGUGACGAAGCGUGAGUGACGGUAACGGGUAAAGAAGCACCGGCUAACUACGUG
rnacentral:rRNA from 1 species